rnacentral:tRNA from 1 species
GCGGGUGUAGCUCAGUUGGUAGAGCUCCAGCCUUCCAAGCUGGUUGUCGCGGGUUCGAAUCCCGUCGCCCGCUCCU